rfam:Burkholderia phymatum STM815 plasmid pBPHY02, complete sequence.
CCCGCCGUGCGACCGGCGGUAGCCUAGGAGCGCGUGCAUUGCUGGCAACGGCGUUGUGCGAAGCCGUUCCGAAAAAGUUGUCCGAAAGCAUGUAGCGCUGCGAAGCGCUGCCAUGGAGGCUCUGAGCAGCAACGGGGCUGAGACG